rnacentral:rRNA from 1 species
CCCAGCUUGCUGGGUGGAUUAGUGGCGAACGGGUGAGUAACACGUGAGUAACCUGCCCCUGACUCUGGGAUAAGCGUUGGAAACGACGUCUAAUACUGGAUAUGAUCGCCGGCCGCAUGGUCUGGUGGUGGAAAGAUUUUUUGGUUGGGGAUGGACUCGCGGCCUAUCAGCUUGUUGGUGAGGUAAUGGCUCACCAAGGCGACGACGGGUAGCCGGCCUGAGAGGGUGACCGGCCACACUGGGACUGAGACACGGCCCAGACUCCUACGGGAGGCAGCAGUGGGGAAUAUUGCACAAUGGGCGAAAGCCUGAUGCAGCAACGCCGCGUGAGGGAUGACGGCCUUCGGGUUGUAAACCUCUUUUAGUAGGGAAGAAGCGAAAGUGACGGUACCUGCAGAAAAAGCACCGGCUAACUACGUGCCAGCAGCCGCGGUAAUACGUAGGGUGCAAGCGUUGUCCGGAAUUAUUGGGCGUAAAGAGCUCGUAGGCGGUUUGUCGCGUCUGCUGUGAAAUCCCGAGGCUCAACCUCGGGCUUGCAGUGGGUACGGGCAGACUAGAGUGCGGUAGGGGAGAUUGGAAUUCCUGGUGUAGCGGUGGAAUGCGCAGAUAUCAGGAGGAACACCGAUGGCGAAGGCAGAUCUCUGGGCCGUAACUGACGCUGAGGAGCGAAAGCAUGGGGAGCGAACAGGAUUAGAUACCCUGGUAGUCCAUGCCGUAAACGUUGGGCGCUAGAUGUAG